rnacentral:tRNA from 1 species
AAGGUAGUGAUGGAAUUGGUAGACAUGAAUAGCUUAGGCCUAUUUGAUUUUUUUAAUCUUAUCCGUUCAAGUCGGAUUUACCUUA